rnacentral:lncRNA from 1 species
AAAUCCACCUCCAUCUCAGUUUUCCACUCCUGUGAGUAUGACUGUUUUAGUUUGUAUGUUCAUGCUUAGGGUCAAACCACUGCACUAAUUGAAACCUAGUAGAGUAUGAAAGUUUUCGUUAAAUAUAAUAUAUAUUUAUCUUGUCUCACACAUGCAAUGCCUUUUCAUUUUUGCAGAAUCAAUCGGCGGCAUCGAAUGAUCCUCAUGUUUCACCAACUGAGCCUAAUUGCGUGCGUCGUUUGUGAACUUAUUUGUGAGAUAUGUAUUGUUGGUGAUAUAUUGUGAUCUUUGUGAACUUAUUUGUGAGACAUGUGAACUUAUUUGUGAGACAUGUGAACUUAUUUGUGUUGUUGUUGCUUUACAUGUGAUGUUGAUGAUAUGUAUGUGGUGUUUGAUAUGUAUUUUCUGUCUGUUUGGAUGGAAUAUAUAAAAAUAAAUAAAAAAGGUGGCUCUGGUCAUUUUGUCUAGUGUUGCACUCGGCAAAGAGGGUCUUUGCCGAGUGCAAUAACCAUAGUACUCGGCCAGCUAAGAAGCGCGGGUAGCCUAGAAACACACUUUGCCUAGUGCUGCACUCGGCAAAGGAGCCGCCUCUGCCUAGUGCUGCGCUCGGUAACGGAGAUGCCUCUGCCUAGUGCUGCACUAGGCAAAGCCUCCGUUACCGUGCUUCCCGCCGUCAUGGAAACUUUUCUUCGCCGAGUGAUGUGUGGCACUAGGCAAAGUUUUUGUUGAGUGCUCGAAAAAUGGCACUCAACAAAGACACUUUGUCGAUCCCUUCGUUGUCGACUUCUUUUUGUCGAGUGCAACACUAGGCAAAGCAUUUGCCGAGUGUAAAAGAGGCUUUGCCUAGUGUCUGUGGCACUAGGCAAAGAAGACGAGUCCUACAAUGAUGUGUAUCAGAACGAAGUAGGAGAUUAAUGUAGAUACAAACCAUAGCCGAUUACAAAUAAGAAUUGUGGUCAUUUCGAUGUGCUUUAGCACGACAUGGCAAAACACAUAGUGAAGUCAUAAAAGGUCAACACAAAUUCAGCAAACAGUCACUAUAAAAACACAAGUGAUUCAUCAUAGUUUGCAAAAUUGUGUUGUACGGAUAACAAUGAGUUCUGUACUUUGUGGAUUAUUGAUGAACUUUUUGCAGUAUUGGGCAUACAGAGCAUAAAACUGACACUAAUUGUGUGCUGGACAUUCAUGCAAAACAAACAACAUUAGUUUCUUUUAUUCAAGUGGUUGAGACAAAAAAUGUUGUAGUAUCAAGUCUUUUCUGUUUUUAUCAAAGUGUUCUUAGGAAGAUAUCCCUAUGAACAACCACAUAUGAUUGUUGCUCCAUAUUUUUGUGCACCAUGUUGAAUUCGAUAUAUUCAGUUGCUGUGUAUUGGUAUUGACCUGGCCUGACGAAUCUAUAAUUCAUUACUUUUUCUACCAUGCUCCUUUUUGUUAUCUCUGGGUAAACCUAAUUUGUGAUUGGCUUCACUUAUUUUGCUAAGAUUAUUGUUUCUUGUUUAUCAGGUGGUUGUGACUACUGUGAUUCAGGAUGAGAAGGAAUUCUUGAAUCAUAAAGCUCACAUAAAUUGUUUGCUGGACAUUCAAAAGUUGUCAUUUAGGACUUAGGAAAAAAUUGAAAAUUCAUACCUUGUGCAAACAUGGUCAAGAAUAUAUAACAUACAGUGAAGUUUCCCAUGAAUCUUUGUCAUUCUAAUUAGGACUUGACAAUUAUGAAUUUUAUUCGUGUGUACACACAUAUUGGGUACCGUCACAGGAUUUAUAUGCACAGGAACACUUGCAUUCGGACCACACUUGCAUCAAGGACAAAGCUUGCGUUUCACU